rnacentral:rRNA from 1 species
CGCAUCUGUGCAUGCAGCAUAUCAAUAAGCGGAGGAAAAGAAACUAACAAGGAUUCCCUUAGUAACGGCGAGUGAAGCGGGAAGAGCUCAAAUUUGAAAUCUUCAAGGUUUUACCUUGACGAAUUGUAGUUUAAAGAAGUGUUUUCUGUUGAAGUUUUGGUAAAAGUUCUUUGGAAUAGGACAUCAUAGAGGGUGAGAAUCCCGUAUUCGACCAUUAUUUUCAGCUGUGUGAUACACUUUCAAAGAGUCGGAUUGUUUGGGAAUGCAGUCCAAAAUGGGUGGUAAAUUUCAUCUAAAGCUAAAUAUUGGCGAGAGACCGAUAGCGAACAAGUACCGUGAGGGAAAGAUGAAAAGAACUUUGAAAAGAGAGUUAAACAGUACGUGAAAUUGUCAAAAGGGAAGCGUUUGACACCAGUGUUGUUUUCUCGAAAAUCAAUUAAAAAUGAGUUUGAUUUUGUAUUGCUGUAUUGACCUUAACAGCUUGCACUGUACAUUUUUCGUGUCUUUUUUUAAUGCACUUUUCGUUUAACAAGUCAACAUCAGUUUCUUUUGUUGUAAAAAGGGUCAUUGGAAGGUGGCUUUCUUUUCGGAGAAAGUGUUUAUAGCCUUUGGCCUCUGCAAUCGGAAGAGACUGAGGUCUGCAGCGUAGACUCUUCGGGGUUAGAUACAUUUGUGCUAAGUUAUAGCUUUUUAUAGACAACUUGUUGACUAUAAUUAGUCUUGUAGCUUACUCGCUUAUGUUAUUUUACCUACGCUUAGGAUGUUGAAGAUAUGCGCGACACG